rnacentral:rRNA from 1 species
CUUCCGCCGGCGACCGGCGCACGGGUGAGUAACACGUAUGCAACCUGCCCCUGUCAGGGGGACAACCCGCCGAAAGGCGGGCUAAACCCGCGUACAUGCCACCGGGGCAUCCCGGAGGCAGGAAAGGCUUCGGCCGGACAGGGAUGGGCAUGCGGCGCAUUAGGCAGUAGGCGGGGUAACGGCCCACCUAACCGACGAUGCGUAGGGGUUCUGAGAGGAAGGUCCCUCACACUGGUACUGAGACACGGACCAGACUCCUACGGAAGGCAGCAG